GACGUAGGGCGCGAGCGUUGUCCGGAUUUAUUGGGCGUAAAGAGCUCGUAGGCGGCUUGUCGCGUCGGCUGUGAAAACCCGCGGCUCAACUGUGGGCGGGCAGCUGAUACGGGCAGACUAGAGUGCGGUAGGGGAGACUGGAAUUCCUGGUGUAGCGGUGAAAUGCGCAGAUAUCGGGAGGAACACCAAUGGCGAAGGCAGCCUUCUGGGCCAACACUGAACGCUCAUGCACGAAAGCGUGGGGAGCAAACAGG
rnacentral:rRNA from 1 species